UACAGAGGUCUCAAGCGUUGUUCGGAUUCAUUGGGCGUAAAGGGUGUGUAGGUGGCGCGCUAAAGUCGGGUGUGAAAUUUCGGAGCUUAACUCCGAAACUGCAUUCGAUACUGGCGUGCUUGAGGACUGGAGAGGAGACUGGGAAAUUCAUGGUGUAGCAGUGAAAAUGCGUAGAGAUCAUGAGGAAGACCAGUGGCGAAGCGGGUCUCUGGA
rnacentral:rRNA from 1 species